GUUCUUUUAAGAAUAUUUUCUGUACCUUCCUCUCUCUCUCUUAUAGUACUACUACCUACCUCUUACUCCUCUACCGCAUCGCUCCACUGCAUUUUACUCUAUACUACCAUCACUCCAGUGCGUUAUUUUUUCCCUUGGAUUUUUGUUUUUUUUAUUUUCAAUUAAAACAUUGACUAAAUUCCCAUUCAUUGCUUAUUCAGCCACUUCUCGCUCGUCUCUUGUUUUUUCCUCUCGCCUACUCUGCGGAUCUGAUCAGACGCUUGAGUUCAGGUGCUCUUCCACUACAGCCACAUCUUCUAGACUUUGCGCAAGGUCUACUGCAUCCUCAUUCCGCUCUCCACCAUCGUUUCGUUUGCUGUGUUCCUUUUCUUCUUCUUUCCACUCCCUUCUCACCACCGUCCCAUGUACCUUUUAAUUAAGGAGUAAAUAAACCGUAUAUGUGUGUUGUACUUAGGCUAGGCUACAUACCCUACCAUCAUUGUGCAGUUUGGUGAUGGGAAAAGAUCCAUACAUCUGCUACAUGGUUUCAAUUUUUUGCAUUUCCAUUCGUUUUUUUUUAUCAUAAUAGUUCGUAAUUGCUUGUAGUAAUUAAUUCGUUCUGUGUUCAUUUUGUCUAAUUUUAAUUUUUGGAUUUUUCCUUUCUCUUGUAUUUUUUUUCCUCCUAUUUUUUCCUAACUCCUGUAAUUUUUUGUUAUUUUUUUUUCACUUUCUUCGUUUCUGUGCAUGUUUGGUUCUCCAUUUUUUUCUUUUUCUACAUGGACUACUAUUUUCAGAAAACAAUAUCGGUAAUCAACAUUUUAAAGCUAAAUAUAGCAAUGCUUUAUUAUUUUUUUCCACCACAAGGGGCCUGCUUCCUAAUAUUAUUUAAUGGGAACAAACUUGAUAAGUAAUUCUUCAACACAUCACUAACAUAUAUCGUCUAAUAGAAAUGAUGCAUUUUAAUGGGAAUAGCAAUUUCACAGAAAAUGUAAAUUUUCUGCGAAAAAUAUAUUUUGUCUAUUCAUUGUUUACUCAC